rnacentral:rRNA from 1 species
UACGUAGGGUGCGAGCGUUAAUCGGAAUUACUGGGCGUAAAGCGUGCGCAGGCGGUUUCGUAAGACAGAUGUGAAAUCCCCGGGCUUAACCUGGGAACUGCGUUUGUGACUGCGAGACUCGAGUGUGGCAGAGGGGGGUGGAAUUCCACGUGUAGCAGUGAAAUGCGUAGAGAUGUGGAGGAACACCGAUGGCGAAGGCAGCCCCCUGGGUCAACACUGACGCUCAUGCACGAAAGCGUGGGUAGCAAACAGG